AUGUCACCACUUAAACCGUCAAUGACGUUACAGAUGGAUAUCCCAGGCAAAUCGACUUCUGAGAGACAGGAUAAACUGACCUCAUCAUCUUCAACAUUUGAAAGUUGCAGUUCAGCCAUUAAUCGAUUUCACAUGACGAUUUAUAAGAAGACUCACUGAACUUCAUUUGCGAGUCCACACAACGGUGACCGGAAUCCUUCUUUUCAGGUGAUGGUUAUUGGGAAUGAUCAAAUUAUUGAAGGGGUGUAUGCAUUGUGCUACUUGUAGACUUGUAUAGGUUGUGUUACUGGGAAUGAUCUAGCUAAUGCAUUGCUAUAUCAAUAAAGGAAAUUCACCACCAAAUGCUAGAAAUCGUUCGUUCAGGGUUACAAUCAUGCCUUCAAAGACACUUAAUAGUCCAUGGUCAUCUCUUCUACCCGAUAUUCUACAAUCAUUUUGAAGCGAAGCAGAUUCACCACUUUAAUCCUGAGGACUCUCAAUUUGCCAAGCAUUUUUACAAUUUUAGCACAUCUAUACAUUUUCACCACCGAAAACAGCCACCGUCACGCCUGACGCCGCAGUCGUCUCUGUCAUGACAUUCGAUUCUUAACCAAUACAGACGGGGCAUGCAAUACAGGAACACAAAAGGGAAAGUCAAACAUUUAGUUUUAAACUGCACAAGCCGAUGCAAGUCCGUCACUACUCUGCCACUGCCUUGCCUGCAGUUGCUUCCCGUAAUGUCGAUAUUCAGUCCGCGGUCAACUUCAUCACCCAAUAGGUUCCCAAAGGCUUAUAUCGCCACAUUCAACAAGGAAUUCCAAAGAUCUUCCUCAUUAUUUUUCUCUAUUCAACAAGGAAUUCCAAAGAUCUUCCUCAUUAUUUUUCUCUUCUCAAAAUGUCAGUCAAGUACCGAUUCCAUCCCACCCCUGUUAAGAGGCAAGGUUAAGCAGGUGAACGACCAGGUCUCGGUGGUCUGCAAGGGAAGUGAUGAUGGUGGUUCAAGAAGGAGCAAUAACCGAUUAGGGUUUUCAGGGUAACCGGGUGAAGAAGAUGACCGGUAAACCAAACCACGUGCACCCGUUUCUGCGAAGUUCGAGUUACAGUCCAAACUUCAGGGUUAUUUUGUUCUAUUUUACUCUGCCCAGAUUUGCCCUUUGCUUUAGAGAUUCUGUUCAACGAGUUAGUAAGCGUUUAAUUUCAUAGUCCUUUUUUAUGAUUUAUUUCAUUUGUUUUUUUUAGAUCAUGAACAGUUUCAGAUCUUGAACAAAACAACCCAAAGCAAAGAACGAACAUUGAAAGGUCAUGAAGGCCGCUACAUAGAUAAAGGCGUCGUAUAGGUUAGGGCGGCAACUGGCAACGGCAUACCGGGAAGACAAACAGACACAGACGCUGCAUCAUCUUCUUCAACGGUUUAUAUGUAAUCCGUCGCGAAAGAGAAUAUUGUUUUAGUUGGUGAUGUGGGCUAGGAACUGCGAAAGGACUGGUUUAUCUCCACGAGUACUAUAAGAUCAUUUUGUUCGUUUGCUGGCCACUAUAAGAUCAUUCAUUGGCGGUUCUUAAUUGCCGCUUCAUGUGAAAAAAGAAAAAGAGUACAUUAAGUUACAUGGAUGAUGUUCUCGUAAUGCAUGUGAUUUCCUUUGAUUGUCAUUUCAUGUUUCUCGAAUUGUCGCUUCGGUUAUCACAUUUUGUAGUUUGUUCAGUUUUUAUGUGUCGAUAUUAUGAUAUAGGAUCUAGCUUGUCAAGCUGAUUUCAUUUUUUGCGUAAAUUUAAAAUUUAUUUUUUUGGUU
rnacentral:lncRNA from 1 species